AUUGAACGCUGGCGGCAGGCCUAACACAUGCAAGUCGAGCGGAUGAAGGGAGCUUGCUCCUGGAUGCAGCGGCGGACGGGCGAGUAAUGCCUAGGAAUCUGCCUGGUAUUGGGGGAUAACGUCCGGAAACGGGCGCUAAUACCGCAUACGUCCUGAGGGAGAAAGUGGGGGAUCUUCGGACCUCACGCUUUCAGAUGAGCCUAGGUCGGAUUAGCUAGUUGGUGGGGUAAAGGCCUACCAAGGCGACGAUCCGUAACUGGUCUGAGAGGAUGAUCAGUCACACUGGAACUGAGACACGGUCCAGACUCCUACGGGAGGCAGCAGUGGGGAAUAUUGGACAAUGGGCGAAAGCCUGAUCCAGCAAUGCCGCGUGUGUGAAGAAGGUCUUCGGAUUGUAAAGCACUUUAAGUUGGGAGGAAGGGCAGUAAGUUAAUACCUUGCUGUUUUGACGUUACCAACAGAAUAAGCACCGGCUAACUUCGUG
rnacentral:rRNA from 1 species